AAAAAAAAAAAAAAAAAACAAUAAGCUUUGGUUAGGGUUUUAAUUUUUUCUCUUCUUACCCAUUACACCAGCCGUCACUCUCUUUCUCCCUCACCCUUACCCUCACUCUCACGUUCGCCUCUCUCUCUCUCUCUCUCUCUCUCCCUGCCUCCCUCACCUGGCCUUUCCGCCGCUGCCGCCACUUCCCACCCUAGCCAUCGCCGUCCCCUUAUUCUCGACUCUCUCUCUCUCCCUCAUCCUCGCCUCUCACUCUCUCCCUCACCCUUGCCACUCUGCCGCUAGCCACCACUGCCGCCGCCCUACUCCUCUUCCCCUUUCCUCCUCUCAUGUCCACCUCCGCCGCUAGUCUCCUCCACCGCCAAUUUUCUAGUACCUCCUCUACCCUUUGUAAUUUUUAUUUUGUAUUUUUUGUUUUUGGGUUUUUAGUUCAAUAUAUAGAGUGUGGGUUUUCUGGAACCUCCUCUGCCCAUCGGUGAGUUUUUUUUUUUUUAAUUGUAGAAAUUUCAUAUAAAUACAUUACAAGAAAAUCAUUGAUUUGAAUUUCAUAUUUUUGUGAUUGAAUAUACUAUUGGGGUUUAGGUUGCAAUGUGAUUUUGAUUUGCAAUUUUUUUUCCCUAUUGGGUCUUGUGGUUAGUGCUUUGAUAUGGAUGUUUGGCUGUGGGAUUGGGGUUCAAAAAAAAUUGGGGUUUUUGUUUUUGGUUGAUUGUGAAUCCAUAAGUAUUUUUUGAUUUGGGAUUUUCAGAGUUGGGUAUGUAUAUUGCUUGUGCUCAUUUGGCUAUAGGUUUGGGUUUGUGCUUGUGCUUGAAAGGUGGGUUUUAUGUUGACCCAGAGGCGAAGCUCCUGUUUAUCAUUCGCAUUCGUGGUAUCAAUGCCAUGCACCCAAAGACUAGAAAGAUCUUGCAGCUCUUGCGUUUGAGACAGGUAUUACAUGAAACUCACCCCUUAUGGUACUAUAAAAUGGCAUCUGGUUAUUGUAGUUUUUAUUUAUGUUUUUGUGUUGGUCAUGACGGUAAAUAUAUCCUUUUGAAGGCUAAGGCAGGUUCAGACUAUUUGGUUAUUGUACCGGGUAGUUUUAGUAAAAGUACUCGUUUUUAAAGCUAUUUAAGUUUAAGCUCCUUGGGUCAUAGUCUAGAAAUCUUUGAGGCAAAGCUCAAACAUCUAGUGUCAAGGUGUUUGGGUGUAAGAACCUUUUUUAUUUUGACCUUUUAGAACUUUAUAUAAGCAUUAAGUACACACUAUUUCUAGUAGGUUUACUGCUGAAUAGUUUGAAACUUGAAGCCCUUUGUUGUGAGUGUUAUGAAAAGCUAAUCUGAAACUAUGCCUGAUUCUUUUAUUCUGAAUGCUGGGACAUGCCUGAUUCUUUUAUUCUUUUAAUCUGAAACUAUGAUAAGCUAACUGACACUGAAUGCUGAAACUUGGCCCACGUAUUUGGUCAUCAAAGGUAAGUUUCAAUUGCAUUGAAUUCAGCCCAAUAUUUUAAAGAAAAUUAAACAGAGGCAUCAUCCAUGGCCGCCACCUUGCCUCCAUUAAUGACCAGUCGCCUCUUGCUUUCUCCGCUGGAAACAUCACUCUCCUCAGUAAUUCUUUGGGAUUGUAUGAUCCUUAUUCCACUCCUCAAAUAAUCAUUCAAAUAUAUGUUUUUAGUUUAUAUAUAUAUUUUGUGUGUGUGUUUUUUAGUGAGCUUUUGAUAUGAUAUUUUUUGGUUUUUUUAAAAUUUUUUUUUUUUAUAUGUGAUAUUUUUGGUUCCUGAUAAGAGAAAGAGUUGUUUUUUAGUGGCCAGUUGUAUUAUUGUAAGUAAAAGUUAUAACUUUUUGUGGUCUCCCAGCCUAUCCAAAAAGACCCCAAAUGAAAUUUUUUUUUUUUUUAAUUUUAAAUUUUCCUGGGUGACCAAACUGUUUGUUUCAAUUAGGUUAGGUGUACUGACUUUAUUAUUUUAUUUGGUUAAUUAAUUUAUUUAUUUUCUAUGUUUGUUGAUGUUUUAGUUUGCAUUAUGCUAAUGUUUCUUUGGGGAAUCCGAGUUUAUCAUUCUUGGUGGCGUUAGACACAGGCAGUGAUUUGUUCGGGAUACCAUGUGAUUGUCAGAAAAAUGGUUGCGUAAAGGCCUUAUAGUCAUCAUCUGGAGCGGGGUAUGUUGAGUUAAACACAAAUUCUUCAUAGCAGGGAUGGGUUCUGGACAUUGGUUUAAGACGAUAAUUGGCUCAAAGAAAGGGAAGCGCGGCAGUUCAAAACAAGUAAAGGUCUACUUGCUUCUUUUGUAACUUGGAUCAGCCAAAUGCCACAGUUCGUUCUAGAGUCAGAAAUCCCAAAGGUAUUGACACAAAACCCAAUCUUUAUCUUCUUUUUACAAGAAUGCUUGAUUUUUUUUUUUUU